CCUACGGGAGGCAGCAGUGGGGAAUAUUGCACAAUGGGGGAAACCCUGAUGCAGCGACGCCGCGUUAGUGAAGAAGUAUUUCGGUACGUAAAGCUCUAUCAGCAGGGAAGAAAAUGACGGUACCUGACUAAGAAACCCCGGCUAACUACGUGCCAGCAGCCGCGGUAAUACGUAGGGGGCAAGCGUUAUCCGGAUUUACUGGGUGUAAAGGGAGCGUAGACGGCAGCGCAAGUCUGGAGUGAAAUCCCAUGGCUUAACCAUGGAACUGCUUUGGAAACUGUGCAGCUAGAGUGCAGGAGAGGUAAGCGGAAUUCCUAGUGUAGCGGUGAAAUGCGUAGAUAUUAGGAGGAACACCAGUGGCGAAGGCGGCUUACUGGACUGUAACUGACGUUGAGGCUCGAAAGCGUGGGGAGCAAACAGGAUUAGAUACCCCAGUAGUC
rnacentral:rRNA from 1 species